rnacentral:rRNA from 1 species
UGAGGCGUGGCUUCCGAGCUAACGCGUUAAAUCGACCGCCUGGGGAGUACGGCCGCAAGGUAAAACUCAAAUGAAUUGACGGGGGCCCGCACAAGCGGUGGAGCAUGUGGUUUAAUUCGAUGCAACGCGAAGAACCUUACCUACUCUUGACAUCCAGAGAACUUUCCAGAGAUGGAUUGGUGCCUUCGGGAACUCUGAGACAGGUGCUGCAUGGCUGUCGUCAGCUCGUGUUGUGAAAUGUUGGGUUAAGUCCCGCAACGAGCGCAACCCUUAUCCUUUGUUGCCAGCGGUUCGGCCGGGAACUCAAAGGAGACUGCCAGUGAUAAACUGGAGGAAGGUGGGGAUGACGUCAAGUCAUCAUGGCCCUUACGAGUAGGGCUACACACGUGCUACAAUGGCAUAUACAAAGAGAAGCGACCUCGCGAGAGCAAGCGGACCUCAUAAAGUAUGUCGUAGUCCGGAUUGGAGUCUGCAACUCGACUCCAUGAAGUCGGAAUCGCUAGUAAUCGUAGAUCAGAAUGCUACGGUGAAUACGUUCCCGGGCCUUGUACACACCGCCCGUCACACCAUGGGAGUGGGUUGCAAAAGAAGUAGGUAGCUUAACCU